rnacentral:lncRNA from 1 species
UCCUUCUAUGGGGUGCUCCUGGGGGCCUGGGGUCCUCCUGGGGGGCCUGGGUCUUUCUAUGGGGUCUGGGUCCUUCUAUGGGGUGCUCCUGGGGGGCUGGGGUCCUCCUGGAGGGCUAGGAUCCUCCUGGGGGGCCUGGGUCCUCCUAUGGGGUCUGGGUCCUCCUGGGGGGCUGGGGUCCUUCUAUGGGGUCUGGGUCCUCCUGGGGGGUCUGGGUCCUUCUAUGGGGUCUGGCUCCUUCUAUGGGGUUCUCCUGGGGGGCUGGGGUCCUUCUAUGGGGUCUGGGUCCUUCUAUUGGGUGCUCCUGGGGGGCUGGGUCCUUCUAUGGGGUCUGGGACCUUCUAUGGGGUCCUCCUGGGGGGCUGGGGACCUCCUGGGGUGCCUGGAUCCUUCUAUGGGGUCCUCCUGGGGGGCUGGGGUCCUCCUGGGGGGCUGGGGUCCUCCUAUGGGGUCUGGGUCCUCCUGGGGGGCCUGGGUCCUUCUAUGGGGCCUGGGGCCUCCUAUGGGGUCUGGGGCCUCCUGUGGGGCCUCAGUUCUACAAGUUCUAGGUCCCCCACCAUGUUCUGUGUCUUCUGUCAAUUUCCAGGUUCCCCUCUACAUUCUAGGCCCCGCUCCAAGUUCCAGGCCCCCCUCCAACUCUAAGCUCCCCACGUUCUAGGUCCCCCUCCCAUGUUCUAGGCCCCGCUCCAAGUUCCAGGCCCCGCUCCCAAGUCCAAGGUCCCCAUGUUCUAGGUCCUCCCAUGUUCUAGAUCCCCCUCCAAGUCCCAGGUCCCCAUGUUCUAUGUCCCCCUCCAUGUUCUAGGUCCCCCUCCAACUCCAAGCUCCCCACAUUCUACGUCCCCCAUGUUCCAGGUCCCCUCCAUGUUCUAGGUCCCCCUCCAAGUCCUAGGUCCCCACGUUCUAGGUCCCUCUCCAUGUUCUACAUCCUUCUCCAACUCUACUCUCCUCACGUUCUAGGUCCCCUCCAUGUUCUUGGUCGCCCUCCAACUCCUAGGUCCUCCUCCAUGUUCUAGGCCCCACUCCAACUUCCACGCCCCCCUCCAAGCCCAAGCUCCCCACGUUCUAGGUCCCCCUCCCCCUUCUCGUUCCUCCCCACCGC